AGGACGAACGCUGGCGGCGUGCUUAACACAUGCAAGUCGAGCGGAAAGGCCCUUUCGGGGGUACUCGAGCGGCGAACGGGUGAGUAACACGUGAGUAACCUGCCCUGGACUUUGGGAUAACCCUCGGAAACGGGGGCUAAUACCGGAUAUGACCACUGGAUGCAUGUUUGGUGGUGGAAAGUUUUUCGGUCUGGGAUGGGCUCGCGGCCUAUCAGCUUGUUGGUGGGGUGAUGGCCUACCAAGGCGACGACGGGUA
rnacentral:rRNA from 1 species